rnacentral:lncRNA from 1 species
AAUUUUUUCGAUUGUCGAAUUGUUAACUUAAAGUUUGUGUGAAUUAUUUCUCCAUGUAAUAUUCAUGUUACGAUGUAUUUUUCAAUAAAAUUACUACAUAUUGAAAAUUAUGGUGCAAAUACAAGAUACAGUCUCUUUCUAAUUUGAAAAAAAAAUAAUUGAAAUUGUACGAAACGACGUCGUUUAGGCCUCACAAAAACGACGUCGUCUUUACUAAUCCACGUAAGUUGCAAUUCAACACUCUGACGAUCUAAAAAAAAAU